UGAGCCCUCUGCUUGACACGGACAGUGGUUUCCUUACAAUAGGUAGUAUCUCAUUUAUGUUGGGUGAAGAAGAUAUGUGAUAUACUAGUUGAACUUAAAAAUAUGUGUAGAUUACUGAACAGACCACAGGCUAGGGAUCAAAAAGCUCUUAAUGAGAUAUCAUUUGAUUAAUCCAAAGCAACAUUUAUCGUUCAUCACAACGAAAUGGAAUUCAAAAUUUGAUAACUAAGGUGAAGGGAUAUGGAUACUCUUGGGCCUAACCUUGAACUUAAUUAUAUCAUACUAUGUUAUUAAACAUAAGAUAUCCAAAUUUCAAUGAAAGAGUGACUUUAAAUUCAAUUGACAGUUAACGUUUAACUGUAUCAAAUUGGAAAAAA